rnacentral:antisense_RNA from 16 species
UUCUAUGGUGAGCUGGGCGGGGCAACCUUCGGGUUGGCCGCUUCCUGUGAUGCGGUAGUCUCAACCCCGUUCAGCUCAUCACCAC